UGGCAGGUGUAGCUCAUUGCCAUCAUCAGGAAGUGUAUAUGAGAAGCAGGUUGCCAGAAUUUCAGCGCCUGAGUGUUUGCUUAUUGUGGUAACUCAACCGGCCAGAGCUUUUGAUAUCUUCCUUAAGAGAUCAUUGUUUGUUACCUCGUUGUCUUUGCUCCUUCCCAGGUAAACUUCCUAGUCCUGGUUCCUGUUCCAGUCACUCUGUUAAGAAAAAAUUCAAGAUCUCCAAGAAUCCCCUCACGGAUCAAGCUCCAGCUGGCAGCCGCUAAGCUCCUCGUUCUCCCUGGCCUCAGGCAUAAGCGAACCCUGCUCACCCUUCAACGUGUUUCACCACCAAACUGCAAGCACAGGUAUCUAGAGCUCACCAUUUGCUCUUUGGAAAUAGCCAUGGACCAAACCUCCACCUGUGCGUAUUUCACCUACCUUGGAUGUAGGAAAAGAUCGCCAUCAGACAAACUGUCUACCAAACUCCCAGGCUCCGCUUCACUCCCUCCCUGGCGGAUCCUCCUCUUCAACCCUCAGUAUAUCUCAGUCCUGGGCCUCACACCAUAACACAUUCCUGUGAAAAAAUAAACUUGUUAAACUUU